GGCAUUGUUAAUGAGCUUUGCCAGUGACAAAUGCAUAACAGGGCCACUUACUUUUAGAACAGCGGGGAAGAAGGAGGCAGAGGCUGGAGCAAUGAGAUUGUAAGCAGGUUUAUUAACCAAGGGCAUGCCCAGGAGCUCUGAGCAAGCAAGCCUCAGCGCCCCCUCCAAGAGGAGUACUUGUUUUUUUUACAGACAGGGGUCGUUUUGUUGAGUCAUGUAGUCUGUGGCCUUGGGGCCGUCUUUGUUUUGGGGAACUCAUCUGUUAUGUGGGCCUGCUUGAAAAGACGGAGUCUGUAAGUCUGGAUUCGCCCGGGUUAUGUUGAUUUUUUUGUCUUUUUAGGCCUUGUUUCGUUUUCCGUCUAAGACUCACCUAGGAUCUUUCCAAUCCUGGGACACUUUCUCAGUUUGAAUUUCGUUCCUUCCCUCCCUAACUUUUGGCAAAGAAGCCCUCCACUUCAGACAGGCUCGUCACCUACUAGCUCUGUGACUGAAAGUCACUGGUACUCCUUUUGCUCAUCUGUAGGAUGGGGGAUACCAUUUUUUCUUCAUCUACAGUCAAGUGCCCUACAUGGUAUGUGGCACAUGAGAAGAAUCUAAGUGUUGUGAAAUCUUUUCCACCCUCUUUCUACCUAAAGAAUACCUUACAGCAGUGGCCCUUAAACUAAUAAGUAUGAGAAACCCAUGGGAUCCUUGGAAAAAACCACCUUCCAGUGCCCCAUCCCCAGAGUCUGACUCAUUAAGUCUGGGUGAGGCCAAGGAAUCUGCCUUUGUGACCAGUGAUUCUAAGACAAGUGGUUGACCACUGUCUGAGAGAUCCUGCUUUAGAAUAAAAAAAUUAUAUGAAGGUAGGGCUGGAAGAGCCUUGAGGUUACCUCAUUCAACAUUCAUUCCCAAUUUGGCUGAUAGAGUUUAGGUGACUCACCCAAGGUCAUACAGAGAGGCAGUGGCUGAGCUAAAGUGGGAACUCAUGUUUCCUGACUCAUAGGGUGACCGGCUAUGCCAGGCGGCCACCUCCUCUUUAUUAGGAAACAGAGCCUUUCCUGGUUUGCAUUGAGGUUGCCCUGAGCAACUCCUUGGCAAUGAGUUAAGGGCUCAGAUUUCUUAGUCAAAAGUUCUUCUAUAAAUUGUUUUUGGUAAGGCAUACUCUUGUAUAACAGCCUAUACAUCCUUUCCAUUGCCUUGUUGAGAACAUCUUCAGAUGAUGAAAAAUUUAUUCAUUUAUUUCUUUGAUUACAGUGGGUGUCUAGCUGCCCUUUAAAUUUUUCUUCUGGCAUCCUUCUUAAUUGAAGGCUGUGAUGCCUUUUAAUGAAAAACAUUUCUUUUGCUCAUUUUAACCCUUUCAUUGUAAGUCAAAACACAAAUAGAAAAAAAAAAACCGCAGAAGGCAAAUUAUGGGUUAGUAGAUUGUUAUGAGGCGAACAUCCUUCUAACAACCACUCAGGUGAAGAUAGAAUUCUGCCAGCUACCCCACAAGCACUUCCAUGUACCCUGGCCCAGUGACAAACUCCUCCAUCUCUCCAAAAGUAACUACUAUCCUGACAUUUAUGGUAAUUACUUCCUUGCAUGUCUUUACAGUUUUAUUACCCUCAUUGUGCAUUUCUAGACACCAAAGUUUAAUUUUGCUCUUUUUAAAAAAAUCUUAUCUCUUAAAUCUCUUUUAAACUGCACAUUCCUUUCCACCCCUUUCUUCUUACAGUUUCUCUUUUGAAGAACCUGAUCUAUUUGAGCUAUGGAGUUUCUCACAGUCUUGAUUUUGCUGAUUACCAGAGGUUUGAUCAAACUCAUAACUGGCCGUUUUAACUGGAUUGUUAGUGUUAUAUGUUCUUUCAUCAAAAGGUAUGGGCUGUGGGGGUGGUGGUGGUGGUGGAGGGCAGAGGGGCCCACAGAGAACAGUUAAAGAUGACUCCACUAAGCAUGGGAUCCUUCAGGCAGACAAGGAGCAAUGUGGGCAGGAGCAUGAAGACUUGAGCACUCAAUGGCAGUCAGGGACUGACCAUGCUGCCUUUGGCAUGGCUAGAUGGAGGGUAUCAUGCAGCCUGGGUCUUGAGGGAUUUGGGUUUUGCUUCAAAGUCUUUGUGUGUAACCCAAAGGCAUAGGCGAGCUGCUGAGGGCUUCUGAUGGGAAUCCCUAAGAUCCGAUUUGAGCUUUAAAUAAAGGCUAGCAAGCCAGCAUUGUAAGUGGACUGAGAGGUGAUUGUAGGGAUUUUGGUGAGCAUGGGAGGGCAUCAGCUGCACUGGCUGUCCCACUCUCCCACACGUUCUGGCUCUGAUUGCCCUUUGCCCUGAGUUUUGGCUUUAUUUAGCCAUCCCUCCCCUCCUUAUAGGCCUGUGGGAUUUCCACAGCUACAACAUGGUGUUGGGAGUGGGAAGGUGGUUGCUUUGAUGUUAAGAUGAUGCACGUGAAAGAUCUUUUUUUCUAAUAGCCACACCCAUGGCACAUGGAAGUUCCUGGGCCAGGAAUUGAAUCUGAGCUGCAGCUGUGAUCUAUGCCGCAGCUGCAGCAAGGCUGGAUCAUUUAACCCUGGGCAGGGGAUCGAACUUGUACCUCUGUGGGGACCCAAGCCACUGCAAUCGGAUUCUUAUUUUUUCUUUUUUUUUUUUGUGGGGGGCGGAGGCAUGCACCCGAGGCAUAAUGGAAUUUCCUAGGCUAGGGGUCGAAUCAGAGCUGUUUGAUCCCUGGCCUCUCUCAUUGGGUUAAGGAUCCAGUGUUGCUGUGAGCUGUGGUAUAGGUCACAGACACAGCUCAGAUCUGGUGUUGCUGUGGCUGUGACCCCUAGCCCUAAAAAGACAAACAAAACAAAACAACAACAACAAAAAAAACCAAACCUGGAAAAUAUUUCCCCCAAGUCUGGUUGGGAGACAGACCAGAUUCACUUUUUUUUUUUUUUUCGAACAGCUCUGUUGAUAUAAUUUAUAUACCACUAAGUUCACAGGUUUGAAGUGUAUAAUUCAGUGAUUUUUUUUGUAUAUUCACAGCUGUGCAAGCAUUACCAUGAAUUAAUUUUAGAACAUUUUCAUCAUUGCCAAAGAAACCUUAUACCUGAAUGCACAGUGUGACUCUACCCUUUAAGUAGCUGUGGGCAACUUCUUUAAAUUCUCCUGUUUCCUCAUCUUGUAGGUAGGAAUAUUAACACAUGAUUUCAUGAGCCUAUUCAAGUAGUGGAUGAGGUGGCUAAUAACACCCUUAGCACACAAUCUGGCACAGGAUAGGCCUUUAAUAAAUUCAGGUUCCCUAAAUUAAUGUUGGCAGUUGUUUUUCUGGGAUUUAGUCAGGAAUGACCCUGUGCAGUUAUUCAUGAAUCAUUGUCUCUGCAUCCAUUUUUAAAAAAUUGAAGUAUAGUUGACUUACAAUGUUGUAUUAGUUUCAGGUGUACAGCAUAGUGGUUCUGUUUGUUUUUUUUUUUUUUUUGCAAAUUAUAUUCCACUAUAGGUUAUUAUAAGAUAUUUGGUAUAAUUCCUUGUGGUAUACAGUAAAUCUUUGUUGCUUAUCUAUUUUAUGUGUAGUAGUUUGUAUCUGUUAAUCACAUACCCCUAAUUUUUCCCUCUCCUCUCCCUCUUCCCUUUGAUAACCCUGAAUUUAUUUUUGUGAAUCUGUUUGUUUUGUAUAAAGAUUCAUUUGUAUUGUUUUUUUUAGAUUUCACAUAUGAGUGAUAUCAUAGUAUAUGGGUUUUUUUUUGUCUGAUUUACUUCACUAAGCAUAAUAUUCUCUAGGUCUAUCCAGAUUGAAAUGGCAAUAUUUCCUUCCUUUUUCUUUUUUUUUUUCUUUUGUCUUUUUUUUUUUUAGGGCUGCACUCGUGGCAUAUGGAGGUUCCCAGGCGAAGCUGUUGCUACCAGCCUACACCACAGCCACAACAACAAAGGAUCUGAGCCAUAUCUGGGACCUACACCACAGCUCACAGCAAAGCCACAUCCUUGACCCACUGAGCAAGGCCAUGGAUCAAAACUGUGUCUUCAUGGAUAAUAGUUGGGUUCAUAAACCACUGAGCCACGAUGGGAACUCCUUUCAUUCCUUUCUAAUGGCUGAAUAUUUUAACCUAAUAUUUUAAACAUCUCCCCCCAUCCCACCCCAGCAAAACACCACACAUCACACACACACCACACACAUACACACACAAGUACUUACAUAUACAAUAUACACAGAACCUAGUAAGCUUUGAGAGAUUCAGGUAACUUCUGGAAUAUUUCUAUAAGUAUAAAGGUAAUUUUAUCUAUCUAUAUCUGAGGUUUCUAAUUUGCAUUUCUUGAAGGGCAAAGUACCUGAAGAUGUCCAUUGAAACUAUCCACAGGCAAAAUUAUAAAUUAGGCAAGGUUGCACUUAGUGUCUCUCAAACUUUGAAUUAAUAAUAGCAAUUCUUAGACUGCUCCUGUGUACCAGACUUAGAAUUAAAUACUUUUGUAUCUUUAUCUUUUACUUGACCCUGAAAGUUGUCAUUAUUCAUAUCACAAAGUAGAAAUUAUAAUCACCCCUAUUUUGAAGGGGAGGAGAGAGGAGGCCCAGAGAGAAGGUAAGUCACUUGCCCAAGGAUAUAUACUAGUAAGUAGAGGAGUCAGGAUUUGAACCCACUGUGGCCUCCUACUGUAAUGGGUUAAUACAACUUCAGGUUAGACUCUGUCCAGAUGGCUCCAGGAAUCUACUUUUAGAAGACAGGUAAAUUAUUUUCAGAGGCAUCAGUGGGUAAUAAGAAGGGUCAUCACCCCCAAUUAUUUCCAUUUUGGUAGGGGCUGCCACAUCAAUGUCCUAAACAAUACUCUCAAUCCUGGGAAAGUAACAGAAUCACCCAGGGAGCUUUAAAAAUCUCUAGAUUUCCUGGCUUCACUACAGUCUGCUUAUAGCUCAAUUUCUUAGAAUGGAUUUUAGAAUCUGUAUUUCUGAAAAGCAUCCAAGAUAGCAUUAUAGAUAGAAAAUACAGAAACUACGAAAUGAAGGACUCUAAGGAAAUAGAGGCAUUUUACAAUUUAAAUUUUACUACAAGCAAAGUUGAUACACAAUGGUGGCUUGGGGAACACAGUUGUAACACAUAUGGCAAGUGAUUGAUGUAUUAGUUAGGGUACCACUAACAGCUAUACAAAUCAACUCGUUAUUCCCUAUGGCUUAACACAGUAGAAAUGAACUUUUUACUCAUAAGAGUCCACAAUGGGUGACCUGUUCAGAUACAGUUCUCUUCCAGGCAGGGAUUCAGGAACACAGGCUUUUUCCAUUUUGUGCACCUCUGUUGUUGACAUGUGACUUCCAAGGUUGCUGAGGAAGGACAUUUAGGAGGGACACUCACAAUUGGGCAGCUUCAUGGGCUGGGUCUGGAAGUGGAACACAUGCUUCCACCAUGCUUCAUCAGCCAAAACUCAGUGUAUGGAUAUGUCUAAGCACUAGUGAGGCUGGGAUAGUCUGGCUGUUCCUAGGAGGAUAAGAAACAGGUUAGGUGAACUGUUAGCCUGUUUCUAUUGCAAAGGAUUGAUGUCUUAAAAAUAAAAGGUAACCAAUCCAGUUAAAAAUGGGCAGAAGAUAAGGACAGACUCUUCACAGAAACACAACUCCAAAUUACUAAUGAACAUUUAAAAAAUGUUCUAUCUCUCUGGUAGACAGGAUGCCAAAAAAAAAAAAAAAAGUAACAGUGGGUUAUCACUUUCUACCCAUCAGAUUGACAGGAAUUAAAGAAUGAUAACACCUACUACUGGUGGGAAGCAGGAGAGAGUACACUUAGGCAUUGUUAGUAGAGAGAGAGAGAUUGCUACAACAUUUUGGUAAGAAAGCUGGCGUUAGCAAUUAAAAUUAAAAGCAUUAUUUUAACCAAGCAAUUACAUUCCAGAGACUCUUUCAUAGAAUGGAAGCAGUGUGUAUAGAUAGAUAUGUCCUAGAAUAUUUAUAGUGACAAAAAUAGACCAUAAGUUUUCCAUUAGCAGGGGAAUAGUCCAGUGCAUUGUGAUAAUAUUAUGGAAUAUUUUGAACUUUUAAAAAAGAUGACUAAGAUAUUCCCAUGAGGUAAUAUUAAAUGGGAAGAUCAAGAGUCAGAGAAGACUCUUUAUUUUUUUAAAAAAAGAAUAAAUCGAAGUGUCAUCUACAUCUCUCUUUUAUACCUAUCAUCAUCAUCAAUCUAUGUCUGUGUAUGUACAUAGAUGAUUGACAAGAGUAGAGAGAGGUUGUUAAUAUUGGUGACCUGGACCAAAGACUGCGGGUAACAGGGGACAGGUGGAGAAAGGAGGGGAAGGAAGAAUCUCCCCUCCUGGAGUUCCUGUCUUGGCACAGUGGAAAGGAAUCCGACUAGGAACCAUGAGAUUGUGGGUUCGAUCCCUGGCCUCGCUCAGUGGGUUGGGGAUCCAGCGUUGCUGUGGCUUAGGCUGGCAGCUGUAGCUCCCAUUAGAUCCCUAGCCUGGGAACUUCCGUACGUCACAGGUGCAGCCCUAAAAAGACAAAAAAACAAAACAAAAACCUCAAAAACUUCCCUUCCCUAAACCACAUUUAAAGUUGUAGCAAUGAAAAAUAGCAUGUGUGAUAAGACUUCAUAAAACUUACAUGUAUAUAUUAUAUGUAUUAAUGAGGAAAUACACGACUUUUUGGUUAUUGAUGUGUUAGUGAUGGUUAUCUCAGAGUAGCUAUUCAGGUAGGUUUACUUUCUUAUAUCUUUAUAUGUUGUUUAACAUUUUUACAGUAAGUGUUUAUUACUUACAUACACAAGAGGAGACCAAUGAGAUCUUUCAUUAUAUAAAAAAUAAACUUCUUUUCAAUGAUUCUGAUGAUUAACCAGCCUUCAUCAUCAGGAUUUGACUUAGGAAGCUCAGAAAAUGGAACUUCA
ensembl:lncRNA